CGUGGACCUCAUGCGGCGUCCAUCCUGUGAACCUCCCCAGGGCCGGAAGGCAGCAAGGAUAAGCGGGCUCUGGCGGGUGCGUGAGGUCCCCUUUU
rnacentral:SRP_RNA from 1 species